CUCUGGGGCUGGUCCUGGGCUGCAUGGCUGCAGCAGCAACUCCUCCAGCCCUGGACUGAAUGCAUGCAGCAGUGGUGCCUCCAGUGUUCAGGGCCGGUCCUGGUCUGUGUGGCUGCUGCUGCAGCAGAGACUU